rnacentral:rRNA from 1 species
CCUACGAGAGGCAGCAGUGGGGGAUAUUGCACAAUGGGGGAAACCCUGAUGCAGCGAUGCCGCGUGAGUGAAGAAGUAUUUCGGUAUGUAAAGCUCUAUCAGCAGGGAAGAAGAUGACAGUACCUGACCAAGAAGCCCCGGCUAACUACGUGCCAGCAGCCGCGGUAAUACGUAGGGGGCACGCGUUCUCCGGAUUUACUGGGUGGAAAGGGAGCGUAGACGGUUAUGUAAGUCUGGAGUGAAAGCCCGGGGACCAACCCCGGGACUGCUUUGGAAACUGUGUAACUGGAGUACAGGAGAGGAAGGCGGAAGUCCUGGUGUAGCGGUGAAAUGCGUAGAUAUCAUGAGGAACACCGGCGGCGAAGGCGGCCUGCUGGACUGAAACUGACGUUGAGGCUCGAAAGCGUGGGGAGCAAACAGGAUUAGAUACCCGGGUAGUC